CUUCUGACUCGGUCAACGCUCAAUAGUAAGGUUUAGGGUUCUGAUAUCCUCUAUAAAUAGAAAUGUGCCUAUAUUUAUCUGUUCCUUUUUUUACUCUUCAUCUUCAUCGACAGAGGCUGAAGGAUCGACCGUCCUCCAUUGUUCUUCUAAGGCAAACCCUGUUCGCCAUCGACAAUGAGAGCUAAGUGGAAGAAGAAGCGUAUGAGGAGGCUCAAGAGAAAGCGCCGAAAGAUGAGACAGAGGUCUAAGUAGUUGCAGAUAUCAGGAAAAUGAUCGAGCUUUCUCCUAAGAGUGGCUAAUAUCUCCAUUGUUGUCUUGCAUUAUUUGCUUGAAGGUGUGGAGGGUUGUAGUUUUGUUCUUAUGAAGAUAGGUUUACACCAUUUCCUGUGGUUUUUAUUACUUUGGACAAACCUAUAUGCGCUGACUCGUUUUCUUCUUAAGAUUUGGUAUAACUUAUAUUAUGCUUUUAAUGCUUUUCCGAACUCGUUUCCGCUAUUUAAUAGCCUUUCUAUUCAAACUGAAUAUCAUUGUGUUGCCUUGUUAA